rnacentral:misc_RNA from 1 species
CUAUGGCAUUCAUCACAAAAAUACAAAAAAGAAAAAUGGCCUUCCUUUGGAAGCUUAUGCAAGAUGACACCAGGUAGAACCCGGCUUAUGUAGUCAGUCAUUGAUGGUGGCGCUAAUUGGUCAUCCAUCCCCUGCCAUACGUGAAUUGGACCAAGAAAUCCAGCCAAUUCACAUUCUGCCUGACUGUACAUGGAUCUAAGCCAAAGGAGAAUGCCUUUCUUCUGACACUUCCUCUGCACAUGCAGAUCUGCCAAGCUGAAACCCCAAUUUGACACCUGUAGUACAGCUUCCUCAAUGAAUGGUUUUGCAAUCCCUUGGCGGAUUGACUCCUCCACAUCCCUAUGCCAAAAUUCUUCAAAUGUUGAAUCCUGAAUCAGAAUUUGGUCCUUCCUUCCAAGUGCCUGAGACAUCCACUUAUCAAUUUGACCAUGAAAACCGGAUAGGAAGCUUCGGCGAUAAAAACAAGAGAGAAAUUUUGGAAAUUUCUGAGCCAAGAAGUACAUUAAUUUCCUUUUUGAUGACCAUUGUUCCCAUGUUCUUCUGAUCUCUUCUUUUGUCAUGCCCAGAUCAUAUGGAUUAAUCAUUGGGGCAAUCAUGGC